UGGCUCAUUGGUAGAGUUACUGCCUUGCAUGCACAAGGCCCUGGGUUCAACUCCCAG
rnacentral:tRNA from 1 species